GGAAUUGUUCUUUCUUCGCAGGACCAAGAGUACUUUAAGGAUUAAGACCAGUGACAGUGAUCACCUUCUCUCUCUUCACUUUCUCAGCUUCAGUUUUUGAGUCUUUCUUGUAAUCACUUGUGGUACUUCAGACUAAGAUGUAUUUUCCUCUUUCCUACUUUGAAGAGUUGUAGACAUACUCGGGAAUUGUUCUUUCUUCGCAGGACCAAGAGUACUUUAAGGAUUAAGACCAGUGACAGUGAUCACCUUCUCUCUCUUCACUUUCUCAGCUUCAGUUUUUGAGUCUUUCUUGUAAUCACUUGUGGUACUCCAGACUAAGAUGUAUUUUUUUUCCUCUUUCCUACUUUGAAAAGUUGUGGACAUGUAAGAGAAUUUGUCUUUUCAGAGUUUCUUUAUCUAUCUCGUUCCUUUGUUAUUUUA